AUUGAACGCUAGCGGCAGGCCUAACACAUGCAAGUCGAACGAACGGCGGACGGGUGGGUAAUGUAUGGGCCCCUGCCCGAGAGAUGGGUAUAACUAAUGGAAACGGUGACUAAUACCGCAUACUAUCGGAUGUACCCAUAUGGGAUGAGCUAGUAGGUGGGGUAAAGGCUCACCAAGGCGACGAUCUCUAGCUGGUCUGAGAGGAUGAUCAGCCACACUGGGACUGAGACACGGCCCAGACUCCUACGGGAGGCAGCAGUGGGGAAUAUUGCACAAUGGGGGCAAGCCUGAUGCAGCCAUGCCGCGUGUAUGAAGAAGGCCUUAGGGUUGUAAAGUACUUUCAGCGGGGAGGCGGUACCCGCAGAAGAAGCACCGGCUAACUACGUGCCAGCAGCCGCGGUAAUUC
rnacentral:rRNA from 1 species